rnacentral:rRNA from 1 species
AUUGAACGCUGGCGGCAGGCCUAACACAUGCAAGUCGAGCGGAUGAGAGGAGCUUGCUCCUUGAUUCAGCGGCGGACGGGUGAGUAAUACCUAGGAAUCUGCCUGAUAGUGGGGGACAACGUUUCGAAAUGAACGCUAAUACCGCAUACGUCCUACGGGAGAAAGCAGGGGACCUUCGGGCCUUGCGCUAUCAGAUGAGCCUAGGUCGGAUUAGCUAGUUGGUGAGGUAAUGGCUCACCAAGGCGACGAUCCGUAACUGGUCUGAGAGGAUGGUCAGUCACACUGGAACUGAGACAAGGUCCAGACUCCUACGGGAGGCAGCAGUGGGGAAUAUUGGACAAUGGGCGAAAGCCUGAUCCAGCCAUGCCGCGUGUGGGAAGAAGGUCUUCGGAUUGUAAAGCACUUUAAGUUGUGAGGAAGGGCAGUAAGCUAAUACCUUGCUGUUUUGACGUUACCGACAGAAUAAGCACCGGCUAACUCUGUGCCAGCCGCCGCCGUAAGAC